rnacentral:lncRNA from 1 species
AGUGAACUGGUCCCCUUAGCAGCUGACCUCCUCCUCCAGCCCUGUGGCUGCCUCCUCUCCAACAGGGACCCUCCUGGUGAAAGAAAAAGAGACUUGGUAAUUCACUGAGCAUCACCCAAGACCGGGCGCAGACCUACACCCUGGCGUAUAAAAGACGUAGUACUCACGUCAUUCCUGUUUCACAGAUGCACAGACUUACUCUUGGAGAGGCUCCUCCCAAAAGUCACCCAGCUGAUUUUCAUCCACUUGGCUCCCCAAGUUGCUGCUCGACCGCUCUCUGACCUGGAUUCACUGAGGACACAUCAGGCCUUUGCCACGGGCUCCAUGGAGUGGCCGGAGCCCAGGGCUGGUUGUACACCGUGGUUUCCUAGAGGAACUCAUGCACAUGUGUCCUGGAGACCUGCAAGAGGACAGCACCAUGGAGAUGACCAGCAACUAAUACCACCCAAAGGUCCACCAACAGGAGAAUGGAUACCCCAGCAGGGGUGCAUGCAUGCAACGGAACACACCACGUACUGGUGAGAGUGAAUCAAUGUCGGUCACACGCAUCAACGCCGAUGAGGCUGAGACUCGUAAUAUCAAAUUUAGAAUUGCAAGUAGCAGAAGGAUCAAAGUUAUAUUUGUAAUAAAGCUUAAACACAAGCAAAUCGAGCACUGUAUUGUUUAGGCACACAUUCACAUUUGGUAAAGACAUAAAGCAAAGCAAGGGAACGAGACAAAAAUGAAAUCCCAGAGUAAUCAGGUGGUCAGGUCUUGGGGGGUGGCGUGGAGUUGGGGAAGGGCAUCAGAGUGGAUCUCACCUCAGCUCCGACUGCUUUGGGAAGUUCUAGUUCUGACAUGGAGUGGUGGGUUCACAGCUGUUUGAUUGCUUGUUAUGCUUUAUAACAAUAUAAACUGCAUAUGUUCAGUUGAAAUAUUUCAUAAUAAAGGUUUUUUAAAAAAGAACAUUGGGCUCAUCUUUCCCAUCAGAUACAGGCAUUUUUGUUUUGAAUUUCUAUUUCCUUUUUUUAAUGAGCAAGGAUCGUUUGCCUCUGAAAAUAUAAAUUAAAAAAAAAAAUAAGGCUGGGCACAGUGGCUCACGCCUGUCAUCCUAGUACUUUGGGAGGCCGAGGUGGGUGGAUCACUUGAAGUCAGGAGUUCGAGACCAGCCUGGGCAACAUGGUGAAACCCCAUCUCUACCAAAAAUAUAAAAAAUUAGCCAGGCGUGGAGGCGUGCGUCUGUAAUCCCAGCUACUUGGGAGGCUGAGGCAGGAGAAUCGCUUGAACCCGGGGGGCAGAGGUUGCACGAGCCGACAUUGUGUCACUGCACUCCAGCCUGGGUGACAGAGCGAGACUCCAUCUCAAAAAUAAAUAAAUUAUUUAAAUAUUUUUUUAGAAAAAGCACUGGAUUUGCAGUUGGGAGCACAAGACUUGGGGUUGCCCCUUCCCACAACCACUGUCAUUGCUGGGACCUCUGCAGCCAUCUCCUCCCGGCCUCCAUCCUCACCCACUCCAUUUCAGUCUCUGUUUGGCCCCCAGCUGAGUUAUCUUUGUAACCAUAAAUGGCAUUCGCUCAUUUUACUGCUUCCUGAAGUCCAAGCCUGUUCUUUUCAACCAUGUUUCUCCCUGUUCCUCUUCACCAUUUGUAUGUAGCCAGAUGUAGAGUUCAUGGAACCAAAAACCUGCCUUCUGCUUCUGUGUCUUUGCUCAAGCUGUACCUGGGAAAAUAAGUCAUCAGGUCUGAGCACCAGCGUCUGGGUCUCAGUGCUCAGCAUGCAAAAGAGACUGGGUUUAGGCUCUGUCACUCACCAUGAAUUCUACACGGAAUGACUUUUCUGUCCCUAAGUGAUCCUUCCAGGCUCAUUUCAGGCAACACCUCUUCCAGGAAGCCUUCCCUGAUAUCCAGCCUUUAUUCUCACAGCUCCUCUGGUAAUCCCUAUCAAAGUACCCUGAGAUUUCCACAGUACUUUGGAAUUUUCUGUGUAUGUGCCUCCUCCACUAGACUACCUACUCCCCAAAGGCAAAAACUGGGUCUUAUUUUGUUUGUCUCAAUAGCAACUGUACCAGCCGUGGCAUGGUGGCACUCAAAUGGUAACGCCCUGAGGGAAAGGUUUUGCCUGUUUUGCUCAUCUAUGUAUUCUAAGUGCCUAGAACACUGCCUGGCAUAUGGUAGCUGUGCUGCAAAUGGUUAUCGAGUGAAUGAAUAAAUGUUAACCUGUACUGAGUACUGAGUAAAGUUCUAUUGCUUGGAAGCUGUGUGAGCUUUGGUGAGACACUUAACGUCUCUGAGCCUCCCUUUCUCCCUCUGUCAAUGGGGAGAUUAAUAGUACUAUUCUUGAAGGAUCACCAUGAGAUUUGGCAGAAAGAUGCAUGUGACAGAGCCUAGAAAAUGGCAGGUGCACAGCCCGCGCUGCUUCAUAUGGAUUUAACCCUGGCCCCAGUGGCCUCAGGCAAAUUCCCAGUGGCUCUGAGGUUGUCCAUCUGAGCUCAGAGUCCCCGCUCAGCCUCCCUGGGUGGUCCAUGGGAAAAGGGGGUCGCAGGUCUGUGCUCCUCCUCCUUAGCCACGGGCCAGUGACCCCUAGGGUCACCUCUGACUGCUGGGUCCGUGGAUCUAUUGUGCAGGGCCUGUUGGUGGCUGGGCAGCCUCACUGAGUCUCCAGAGCCCAGCUGGUCAGUGCAGCCAAGGUCAUGGUCCUCAUUCCUUGAAUGGCUCUUUCUUUAAAUUGACGCAAACUCUUCUUCAGCAGCCACAGGUAGCUCCUAACGCAGCCAGCUGUCUGAGCACUCUCUUAGGUCCCUUUGGGUCCUAAAAUGC